GCAUAUCAAUAAGCGGAGGAAAAAGAAACCCAACAGGGAUUGCCCUAGUAACGGCGAAGUGAAGCGGCAACAGCUCAAAUUUGAAAUCUGGCCUUCGGGUCCGAGUUUGUAAUUUGUAGAGGAUGCUUUUGGUGAGGUACCUUCCGAGUUCCCUGGAACGGGACGCCAUAGAGGGUGAGAGCCCCGUCUGGUUGGAUACCGAUCCUCUGUAAAGCUCCUUCGACGAGUCGAGUAGUUUGGGAAUGCUGCUCUAAAUGGGAGGUAUAUGUCUUCUAAAGCUAAAUAUUGGCCAGAGACCGAUAGCGCACAAGUAGAGUGAUCGAAAGAUGAAAAGCACUUUGAAAAGAGAGUUAAAAAGUACGUGAAAUUGUUGAAAGGGAAGCGCUCAUGACCAGACUUGGGCUUGGUUGAUCAUCCAGGGUUCUCCCUGGUGCACUCUUCCAGCCCAGGCCAGCAUCAGUUCGCUGUGGGGGAUAAAGGCUUCGGGAAUGUGGCUCCUCCGGGAGUGUUAUAGCCCGCUGCGUAAUACCCUGUGGUGGACUGAGGUUCGCGCAUCUGCAAGGAUGCUGGCGUAAUGGUCAUCAGCGACCCGUCUUGAAACACGGACCAAGGAGUCGUCUUCGUAUGCGAGUGUUCGGGUGUUAAACCCCUACGCGUAAUGAAAGUGAACGCAGGUGAGAGCUUCGGCGCAUCAUCGACCGAUCCUGAUGUUCUCGGAUGGAUUUGAGUAAGAGCAUACGGGGCCGGACCCGAAAGAAGGUGAACUAUGCCUGUAUAGGGUGAAGCCAGAGGAAAACUCUGGUGGAGGCUCGCAGCGGUUCUGACGUGCAAAUCGAUUCGUCAAAUAUGGGCAUGGGGGCGAAAGACUAAUCGAACCUUCUAGUAGCUGGUUUCCGCCGAAG
rnacentral:rRNA from 1 species